rnacentral:rRNA from 1 species
UAGGGAAUCUUCCACAAUGGCGAAAGCCUGAUGGAGCAACGCCGCGUGUGUGAUGAAGGGUUUCGGCUCGUAAAACACUGUUGUAAGAGAAGAAUGACAUUGAGAGUAACUGUUCAAUGUGUGACGGUAUCUUACCAGAAAGGAACGGCUAAAUACGCGCCAG